rnacentral:rRNA from 1 species
GACAUGUACGGAAUCCUUAGAGAUAGAGGAGUGCUCGAAAGAGAACCGUAACACAGGUGCUGCAUGGCUGUCGUCAGCUCGUGUCGUGAGAUGUUGGGUUAAGUCCCGCAACGAGCGCAACCCUUGUCAUUAGUUGCUACAUUCAGUUGGGCACUCUAAUGAGACUGCCGGUGACAAACCGGAGGAAGGUGGGGAUGACGUCAAGUCCUCAUGGCCCUUAUAGGUGGGGCUACACACGUCAUACAAUGGAUGGUACAAAGGGUCGCCAAUCCGCGAGGGGGAGCCAAUCCCAUAAAGCCGGUCGUAGUCCGGAUCGCAGUCUGCAACUCGACUGCGUGAAGUCGGAAUCGCUAGUAAUCGCGGAUCAGCAUGUCGCGGUGAAUACGUUCCCGGGUCUU